UACGAAGGGGGCUAGCGUUGCUCGGAAUCACUGGGCGUAAAGCGCACGUAGGCGGACUCUUAAGUCAGGGGUGAAAUCCUGGAGCUCAACUCCAGAACUGCCUUUGAUACUGGGAGUCUUGAGUUCGGGAGAGGUGAGUGGAACUGCGAGUGUAGAGGUGAAAUUCGUAGAUAUUCGCAAGAACACCAGUGGCGAAGGCGGCUCACUGGGACGUUACUGACGCUGAGACGCGAAAGCGUGGGUAGCAAACAGG
rnacentral:rRNA from 1 species